AUUGAACGCUGGCGGCAGGCCUAACACAUGCAAGUCGAACGAGUGGCGGACGGGUGAGUAAUGUAUGGGAAACUGCCUGAUGGAGGGGGAUAACUACUGGAAACGGUCGCUAAUAACGCAUACCCUCGAUUUAGCCCAGAUGGGAUUAGCUAGUGGGGGGGGUAAAGGCUCACCUAGGCGACGGUCCCUAGCUGGUCUGAGAGGAUGACCAGCAAAACGGGAACUGAGACACGGUCCAGACUCCAACGGGAGGCAGAAGUGGGGAAUAUUGCACAAUGGGCGCAAGCCUGAUGCAGACAUGCGGCGUGUAUGAAAAAGGCCUUCGGGUUGUAAAGGACGUUCAGCGGGGAGGCGUUACCCGCAGAAGAAGCACCGGCUAACUCCGUGCCAGCAGCCGCGGUAAUUC
rnacentral:rRNA from 1 species